rnacentral:rRNA from 1 species
UGCAUAGCCGACCUGAGAGGGUGAUCGGCCACACUGGAACUGAGACACGGUCCAGACUCCUACGGGAGGCAGCAGUAGGGAAUCUUCCGCAAUGGGCGAAAGCCUGACGGAGCAACGCCGCGUGAGUGAUGAAGGUCUUCGGAUCGUAAAACUCUGUUAUUAGGGAAGAACAUAUGUGUAAGUAACUGUGCACAUCUUGACGGUACCUAAUCAGAAAGCCACGGCUAACUACGUGCCAGCAGCCGCGGUAAUACGUAGGUGGCAAGCGUUAUCCGGAAUUAUUGGGCGUAAAGCGCGCGUAGGCGGUUUUUUAAGUCUGAUGUGAAAGCCCACGGCUCAACCGUGGAGGGUCAUUGGAAACUGGAAAACUUGAGUGCAGAAGAGGAAAGUGGAAUUCCAUGUGUAGCGGUGAAAUGCGCAGAGAUAUGGAGGAACACCAGUGGCGAAGGCGACUUUCUGGUCUGUAACUGACGCUGAUGUGCGAAAGCGUGGGGAUCAAACAGGAUUAGAUACCCUGGUAGUCCACGCCGUAAACGAUGAGUGCUAAGUGUUAGGGGGUUUCCGCCCCUUAGUGCUGCAGCUAACGCAUUAAGCACUCCGCCUGGGGAGUACGACCGCAAGGUUGAAACUCAAAGGAAUUGACGGGGACCCGCA